AGUCAAGUAGGAAAGGGCGCAGGGUGGAUGCCUGGGCACAGGGAGCCGAAGAAGGACGUCGCCAGCAACGAAACGUCUCGGGGAGCCGCGAGCAGGCUGUGAUCCGGGAAUCUCC
rnacentral:rRNA from 1 species